GACGAACGUUGGCGGCGUGCUUAAUACAUGCAAGUCAACUGAAGCAGUGGUAGCAAUAUCGCUGUGGAGGUGGCGCACGGGUGAGUAACACGUAGGUAAUCUGCCUUCAGGUCUGGCAUAACUCCGGGAAACCGGGGCUAAUAGCAGAUGAUGCAGCGGCUCGACAUCGAGACAGUUGUUAAAGCUAUGGCGCCUGAAGAUGAGCCUGCGUCUGAUUAGCUAGUUGGCGGGGUAACGGCCCACCAAGGCAACGAUCAGUAGCUGGUCUGAGAGGAUGAUCAGCCACACUGGAACUGAGACACGGUCCAGACUCCUACGGGAGGCAGCGGUAAGGAAUAUUGCUCAAUGGGAGAAAUCCUGAAGCAGCAACGCCGCGUGAGGGACGAAGGGCUUUUGCUUGUAAACCUCUGUAGUGAGAGAAAAAAAUCCCAAUCUUUGGGACAUGAUGGUAGCUCAAAAGUAAGCCCCGGCUAACUACGUG
rnacentral:rRNA from 1 species